AAGAACCUACGGGGGGCAGCAGUGGGGAAUAUUGCGCAAUGGGCGAAAGCCUGACGCAGCGACGCCGCGUGAGGGAUGAAGGUCUUCGGAUCGUAAACCUCUGUCAGCAGGGAAGAACGGUCACUGUGCUAAUCAGCAGUGAAUUGACGGUACCUGCAAAGGAAGCACCGGCUAACUCCGUGCCAGCAGACGCGGUAAUACGGAGGGUGCGAGCGGUAAUCGGAAUUACAGGGCGUAAAGAGCUCGUAGGCGGUAUGUCAAGUCAAGGGCGAAAUCCCCGCGAUCAACGUGG
rnacentral:rRNA from 1 species